AGUGAACGCUGGCGGUAGGCCUAACACAUGCAAGUCGAACGGCAGCACAGUAAGAGCUUGCUCUUACGGGUGGCGAGUGGCGGACGGGUGAGGAAUACAUCGGAAUCUACUUUUUCGUGGGGGAUAACGUAGGGAAACUUACGCUAAUACCGCAUACGACCUACGGGUGAAAGCAGGGGAUCUUCGGACCUUGCGCGAUUGAAUGAGCCGAUGUCGGAUUAGCUAGUUGGCGGGGUAAAGGCCCACCAAGGCGACGAUCCGUAGCUGGUCUGAGAGGAUGAUCGGCACCACUGGCACUGCGCCACGGUCCAGACGCCUACGGGAGGCAGCCGUGGUGAUUAUUGGACAAUGGGCGCAAGCCUGAUCCAGCCAUACCGCGUGGGUGAAGAAGGCCUUCUGGUUGUAUAGCCCUUUUGUUGGGAAAGAAAAGCAGCAGGUUAAUACCCCGCUGUUCUGACGGUACCCAAAGAAUAAGCACCGGCUAACUUCGUG
rnacentral:rRNA from 1 species